UGGCAUAUGGCUGAGUAGCGAGUAGUCAAUCUGCCCUAAGGAGGGGGAUAACCUCGGGAAACUGAGGCUAAUACCACAUAGGUUAUGGAUGCUGGAACGCUUCAUAGCCCAAACAGCGUGACGAAAUGCAGUUACGUCUGCCUUAGGAUGAGACUGCUUCCGAUCAGGUAGUUGGUGGGGUAACGGCCCACCAAGCCGAUAAUCGGUGGGGGCAAUGGGAGUUGGCGCCCCCAGAGGAGCACUGAGACAAGGGCUCCAGUCCUACGGGAUGCAGCAGGCGCGAAACCUUCGCAAUGCGCGAAAGCGUGACGAGGGGAUUCUGAGUGAUGCUCCACGCGAGCAUCUUUUCGUAAGCUUAAGGAGCUUGCGGAAUAAGAGCUGGGAAAGACCGGUGACAGCCGCCGCGGUAACACCGGCAGCUUAAGUGGUAUCCACGAAUAUUGGGCUUAAAGAGUCCGUAGCUGGCCCGCUAAGUUCUCUGUGAAAUCUUCAGGCUUAACCUGAAGGAUGCAGAGAAUACUGACGGGCUUGGGAGCGGGGGAGGCCAAGAGUACUCAUGGGGUAGGGGUAAAAUCCGUUAAUCCUAUGAGGACUCCCAGUGGCGAAGGCGCUUGGCCAAAACGCGUCCGACAGUGAGGGACGAAGGCUAGGAGAACGAAUCGGAUUAGAUACCCGAGUAGCCCUAGCAGUAAAUUAUGCAGACUUGGUGUUGCCAUAGCUUAGCGCUGUGGCAGUGCCGUAGCGUAAGUGUUAAGUCUGCCGCCUGGGGAGUACGCCGGCAAGGCUGAAUUU
rnacentral:rRNA from 1 species